GAUGAACGCUGGCGGCGUGCCUAAUACAUGCAAGUCGAGCGAACAGACGAGGAUCUUGCUCCUCUGACGUUAGCGGCGGACGGGUGAGUAACACGUGGAUAACCUACCUAUAAGACUGGGAUCACUUCGGGACACCGGAGCUAAUACCGGAUAAUAUAUUGAACCGCAUGGUUCCAUAGUGAAAGACGGUUUUGCUGUCACUUAUAGAUGGAUCCGCGCCGCAUUAGCUAGUUGGUAAGGUAACGGCUUACCAAGGCGACGAUGCGUAGCCGACCUGAGAGGGUGAUCGGCCACACUGGAACUGAGACACGGUCCAGACUCCUACGGGAGGCAGCAGUAGGGAAUCUUCCGCAAUGGGCGAAAGCCUGACGGAGCAACGCCGCGUGAGUGAUGAAGGUCUUCGGAUCGUAAAACUCUGUUAUUAGGGAAGAACAAAUGUGUAAGUAACUAUGCACGUCUUGACGGUACCUAAUCAGAAAGCCACGGCUAACUACGUG
rnacentral:rRNA from 1 species